rnacentral:rRNA from 1 species
UGGGGAAUAUUGCACAAUGGGCGAAAGCCUGAUGCAGCAACGCCGCGUGAAGGAAGAAGGCCUUCGGGUCGUAAACUUCUGUCCUUGGGGAAGAAGAACUGACGGUACCCAAGGAGGAAGCCCCGGCUAACUACGUGCCAGCAGCCGCGGUAAUACGUAGGGCGAAGCGUUAUCCGGAAUUAUUGGGCGUAAAGAGUACGUAGGUGGCAACUUAAGCGCAGGGUAUAAGGCAAUGGCUUAACCAUUGCUCGCCCUGCGAACUGGGAUGCUUGAGUGCAGGAGAGGAAAGCGGAAUUCCUAGUGUAGCGGUGAAAUGCGUAGAUAUUAGGAGGAACACCAGUGGCGAAGGCGGCUUUCUGGACUGUAACUGACACUGAGGUACGAAAGCGUGGGGAGCAAACAGGAUUAGAUACCC